GGAUUCAACGCCGGAAAUCUCACCGGGGCGACAGCAAUAUGAAGGUCAGGCUGAAGACCUUACCCGAUUAGCUGAGAGGUGGUGCAUGGCCGUCGUCAGUUCGUACUGUGAAGCAUCCUGUUAAGUCAGGCAACGAGCGAGACCCACGUCCACAGUUGCCAGCAUACCCUCCGGGGUGAUGGGUACACUGUGGAGACCGCCGCUGCUAAAGCGGAGGAAGGAGUGGGCAACGGUAGGUCAGUAUGCCCCGAAUCUCCCGGGCUACACGCGGGCUACAAUGGUUGGUACAAUGGGCAUCUACCCCGAAAGGGGAAGGAAAUCUCUUAAAGCCAAUCGUAGUUCGGAUUGAGGGCUGCAACUCGCCCUCAUGAAGCUGGAAUCCGUAGUAAUCGCGUUUCAACAGAACGCGGUGAAUACGUCCCUGCUCCUU
rnacentral:rRNA from 1 species